rnacentral:rRNA from 1 species
UACGAAGGGGGCUAGCGUUGCUCGGAAUCACUGGGCGUAAAGCGCACGUAGGCGGACUCUUAAGUCGGUGGUGAAAUCCUGGAGCUCAACUCCAGAACUGCCUCCGAUACUGGGAGCCUUCGAGUCCGGGAGAGGUGAGUGGAACUGCGAGUGUAGAGGUGAAAUUCGUAGAUAUUCGCAAGAACACCAGUGGCGAAGGCGGCUCACUGGCCCGGUACUGACGCUGAGGUGGCGAAAGCGUGGGGAGCAAACAGG